AAGAAAUCUGCCCUUAGGCCUUCAGAAUCAACAGUGCGGGCGCCUGUAGCUUAAAGUGAACGCAAACAAAACUGUGGCGUUAACCAAUCAGAUUUCGAGGUGGCGACAACGGGCCAGCUAGCAGGCGUACGCUAACGUUAGCACGUGCACAUCUUCUGAUUGGAUACGCACUAUUGAGAGGCAGAGCUAGGCAGUAGGCAGAGCCAUACAGUCUAUGGGCAAAGCUAGCAAACAGAGCUAGAACUUGAGCGAGCUAAUUUGUGUAGAUUUCUACAAGCUAUUUUUUUCAACCCACAAUGGCUGAAGGAGGAGAAGAGAUCAAUUUGGUAGAAGAUAUAAUUACAACGCCAUUUUCAAAACGAACUUUUCAAGUAAAGCUACACAUCUUGAAAAGGGAACGACCAACUCCAACGCUAGCGAGCCUAGCACAGCAGGGAAACUACGAGCGGUACCCCUGGCUCACAGCCUCCGAGAGGCACUGCAAAUUGUACUGCCGGGAAUGCCUGGUAUUUGCAACUGAUCGAUUUGGUGUUUGGAGCCACACUAAAUUUGCAAACUUGAGUUGUCUAACCAAGGCAGCAACGAGACACCAAAGCACAGCUGGGCACUUGGAAGCACUGGUGCUUUUGAAAACCUUUGGGGACACCCGAGUGGAUCUACAGCUCAACGAACAAGUGCGCAGGGAAACGGAGCUCGAAACGAAAGGGUGAACAAAAAUAGGGAAAUAUUGAAAGACUGAUUGAUUGAUUGUGUCCUGUUUUUGGGUAAACAGGAACUUUCAUUUAUGGGACACGAUGAAAGCGCCGAGUCCAGAAACAGAGGAAACUACGUGGAGCUUCUUUCUUUUCUUGCUGAGAACAACACAGAUUUGCAUUACCACCUGUACACAAACAACAUGUUUACUGGGACGUCAGGCAAAAUACAAAACGACCUGAUUAAUGCUAUUGCUGAAGUGAUGGGAGAAGAGAUCAAAAUGAAGAUUAAAAAAGUACCCUUUGUCGCUGUUAUGGUGGACGAGACGUCAGAUGUGGGUAAUGUAGCACAGCUGGCACUUGUUCUGCGUUAUGUGACAGACACAGGUGUCAAGGAGCGGUUUGUCAGAUAAUCUGAUUAAUUAAGUUAACUGUAAAUGCUGAUGUAUUCAUUAUAAAUGCUUCAGAAAUAUUAAUAUAACUCUGUUGUACUUGACUAUGUUAAGGUGAUGCAACGCCCGGUUAUACUUCGUUUCUGUCUAAAUGUAUAGUUUCUAGAGCCAUGGCGUCAUAAUGAUGGUAUUAAGAGGUGGAAUAAUUCAGGUAGGACUGUGUAGGAUAUCACUGAAGGCCUAGGUGUGAAAUGCACGGCCCGCCACUGGGUUUAAGAAAUGUGGUUUUCACACCUUGAAUGCAGCAGCACAAUAUUUGUUGUUUUUUAAAUCCCAGUGAGCAACAUCAGAGUCCUUUUCUAGACAUGGUUAUUAUGGUUACUAUAAGGAGCAUGACCAUGUAUCUCAACCACUCAACCGAAUAUGAAGAAGUGGUUUUCCUCCAGUUAUGUUUUAGUUAAUUACACAAUGAGUAAUGUAAAAAUGAGAAAUGUUAGUUAAUAUUCAACCUGAAGCAAGUUUAAAUUCUCAACAUUGUACACAUUAAUUGUAUGAUUCCGAUAUGACUUUAUUUAAUGUAGCACAAAAGUAUGGAGCUAUUUUGAGCAGACUAACUAACUAGCAACUAACCACUUCCUUUUCUCUGCACCUCCUACACGAAUACAUCUCUGAGAUAAUCUUGAAGUUUCAGUCUGCCUAUACCUGAUGGACAUCAUGUUCACCCGAGACCAAGCAGCUCUGCUCUCCAUUCAUCUAUAUGCUAUGGGCCAAGUCUUUGCAGGGACUGUUACAGAGGAGCACAGGAGUAUACAGGAGUCCAGGGGAGGCUCCGUCAUCCUCACUUGCAACAUAUCAGCGACAAAUGUAACGCAAAUCAACUGGACCAAAGGCAGUUUUCUUUUUGCAUAUUCAUUCAAACACAAUCAGACUUUUUCAAAUUUCACCUCUCACACACUGAUAGACACAACCCUACCUUCAACGCUGAAUAUUUCUAAUGUUCAGCAUGAAGAUGCAGGACUCUAUAGAUGUAAUCUAACUUACCCAACAGGUGCAGGAUAUAUUGAGUGGAAUUUAACGUUGUCCGGUGAACCUGAAGGAAAAGAUUCAUCGUGGUCUUUUCUAUACACACUCUCCGCUGUAAUUGGAUUUGUUCUAUGUGUCUUCACUUCAGUUCUCUACCUCUUCAGGAAAAGCUGGACUAACAACUCAAAGCAGGAGAGCAAAUUCCUGAGUCAUGUCCAGUUUUGUGUUCAGUUGGGAAGAGAGGUGGCUCUUCCUCAACUCCACAGCUGUGCAGUCUACAAGGCGAAUCACAAGCAUAGGGAGUCUGUGCAGUGAAAAGUGGGAUUCAGUUUGUUCUGAGAAGCUUCAGACUCAGUUUAAAGCUGAAUAAGAACAAAGACAACGUGAAAACGAGACGACAAAUCUGAUCCUUACCACAGAUAAAGAUGCAGGAGCUGGAUUCGUUUUGUGUCGUCUAUUAGCAAUGAUCUAUUUCUAUCAUGCGUUUAGAGCUUUAUUAUUGGCUGAGCACUUUCUGCGCUGCGUAUUUGGCUGUGCAAAGUGAGCUUUGUGUAUACAUAGUCUAUGUUUGUAACAUGUCUUGCAUAGGAACAUAUUGGAACAUUAGUAUGAUAAUAACACGAGCAAGUGUUGCGAUUAGCUACUAAGCAUUUAGACGUGCUCUCCUGUGUCAAUCUCUCGUGGUAAGCGUUGAUAGAAUCCCCGGGGAAUGCGUAAUGUACGCCUGAGCUUUGUUUUAUUUUGUUAAAUGAUAACAUUACCUUUCCGGAAGCCAUGUGAUUUCAAGCUCCGGAUGUACGGUGGUUGUUUUCAGAGCAAAACGGCGCUUAAAAAGUGUAAGCCAUAGUAAUUAUGUUCGUUUUUCUACUGCUGGUUUUUACUAGGGGAAUACGUUUUCACGGCGUCAUGGUACUUAAAGAGACGAUAAAUGUUGUGAACAUCAGUUUGAUUCUUAACGUGAUUUUAACCACAGUAGAUACAGGCAGGGCAGCAUGCCUUACCAUGGAUGUGAUGCCAAGUACAUUCUUUCAAUAAAUAUUGAAUAUUUGAAAUGAAAUGCCCACAUUUGGGGUUUGCUGUAUUUUCUGCCUCUUUCAAGGUUUCAAGGUUUUAUUGGUCAUAUGCACAGCAGAUACAGCGUAUAUGUUGGCAAUGAAAA